GUAGAUAGAAAAAUUUAUAUCUGAGCAGGAGAUGAAAAUAAUGCACAUUCCCUACAUAGGAUGAAGAAACAUGUAAUUUUUCAUCUCCUUAGGAAAUAAAAAUUCCUUUUACAGGUAUAUAUUAUUCUCUUAAAGAUUAUAUUGUAUAAAGCUAUUUCAACUCUGCUCAAACCUCCACUGGCAUUUAGGUUUAAUGGCAAAGGAAACCAAAAGCAUUUUGCCAGCACAAUAAAAGGAUUGUCUUUCUCCAAAUGACCGGGAGGUCCUUAAACCCAUUGCUUAUAAUGCCUAAUAUAUACUUGUCAGGGUACACUUUCAGCAUAAUGUUUCUACCUUUGAUAAGAAAAUGAAUUCCAUAUUCCUAUUCAUAAAACAUUUUACUCUCUAAUCUCUCCAAGACCAGACAAACAUUCUUUGCGCUGAUAAACCUAAAUAUUUUUGACAGUUUAUUCAAGAAAUAAUUAGAAACAGCAAAAUUGGGCUUUUAUUAUGAUGUAGACAUUGAACUGUUUUAUAAUCUGUGCAAAUAAAAUCAAGUUUUUUUUAUGUGCCACUCUAUCAAAAAAAAAAGCUUAACUAACAAAAAGAUUAUGGCUUCCCUUCCCUGGAAACAUUCUUCCUGUCCUACAAGCCUUGUCUGAAUAUCUUUUUAUGUCCUUAGGAGAAUAAAGGCACGUACUUUUAACACAUUUCAGUUUAAACCAUGAUCCUAAUCUUCUGCUUAGUCUGUGUUAGCAAACUCCCGGGAUUGAACUCCUCACUGAUGUUUAGGGAGAUGCACCU
rnacentral:lncRNA from 1 species